CAAUUUAAAUAUUGUCCGUCUCGCUAAAAUUCGAGAACGGCAGAACCAAUUUUGUUAAUUUUUGUCUUGAAAUAUUCAUGCA